ACGGUAUAUUUGAUAUUGAUCAAGAAAAGCUUAAGGUUCUUUGGACAUAACUGUGAAGUCUCCCAUAAAGAGUAUAUUUGGUAUAACAACCCAAUGCUGCUUGCGCGGGGACUGAUUCUUGUUCACAACUGAAGCCAUGGAAUCAGGAAAGGAAAUAGAAGAAGCCAUAGCAGAGGACGGGGACUCGUUCUUUCUCACAACUGAAACCAAGCAAUCAGGAAUGGAAAUAGCUUACGUGUCCUCAUUACCCUAAUUCUCGUCCAAUCAAUUCUGGCUAUAAUCAUUAAUAAAUAGCCUCAAAAUACAAAUAUCAUAUUCAGAAUUAAUCCUCCUCCUUUGAUCCAUCGCCCUCAUAAUUCCUUCUCUCAUUUCCCGCCGUCAGUCUUCUUUCCCCACUGCUAUUCCCACCAGCAAACUUCUCCUUCUCCGACAGCUUUCUCCGCUGCAGUUCCCACCGGACUUCUCGUUCUGUUCUGUCUUCUUUCUACACUGUUGUUCCCGCCGGGCUUCUCGUUCCGGUCGGACUUCGCCUUCUCGUCUUCUUUCUCCACUGUCGUUCCAGCCGGACUUCUCUUUCUCCGUUUUCUUUUUCCACUGUUCUUAGAUACAACAAAAGACACCGAUGGCUCAAGAAUACCCCAAUUUCGAGUCCCAGUUUGUCCCCCUUCCACAAAAUAUCCCUCCCCUUGGGAUAUGUAUUGAUAACGAAACAUGUGCUGAAUAUACUCUCGUCAUG